CUACGUCUUUCUUAGAAGCUUCUCAGCCCAAAUUCCUGCUCCAGCAGUGCCUAGGCUUAGGACAACUUUUCGAUUUGUGAUGGGAUUCUAAGCCAAAUAGAAUAUCCCCCAGGUCACUGGAUCUGAGGACAAAGCAAGGCAAGACUCUCUAGUAAAUCCACUUCAUAGGUGGUAUCUCUGUUCCUGAAAAUAGAUGUAAGAUCUUCCAGAAACAUCUUUGAAAGUCCUUGUCAGUGCUUUGUCAGUGCUUUCCUUGCUCAUCAGUUUGAACGUGACAAAAAGCUACUGCUAGAAGUAGGAAGGAGGAAGCCUUCUAAUGGUUAAGAUUCAGUCUUUAUUGAAUUAUCUUCACCGUGUGCUGUAGCUUAAAAGCUGCUCGCUGCAUUCACGGAGGUACUCUAUUCUGUUCCCUGCAGGACUCAGACACCUGGGCUCUAACAGUGAUCUGUCUUGAACAGCAAGAGGAGAGCUGAAGACAGCAGGUUUAGUAAAGGGGCAGCACCAAUUUUUCCAGCUGGCACAUUGCACUAAAUAACCAAUUCUGUGCCAGAAACGUUCAGAAAGCCAGUGAAGGAAGAAGUAACAUCAACUUCAGCCUCCAGCCACUCCCAUUAGUACAUCUGGGAGAACACAGUCACAUUUCUGAGGAGAAAGAGACAUCUCUUAAAGAGAAAGAUCCUCUGACUUUAAUGAACACUACAUACAGCAUAAUGCUACAAAGUGGCAUUCUUACUAGAAUUUUAAGACUGGCCUUCCCUAUAGAACACUGGCCCGACUUCACAGAUAUUUCAUCAGAUAAAUCUGGUUCAGCCUUUAAUGG